rnacentral:lncRNA from 1 species
CCAUGGUGACAGAGAAGACAACACAACACUGGGGCAGAUGAGAGCUGAGACGCAGAGCCCUUCUGAGAAGCAGCACAGGCUAGCUGGGAACCAGGAAUUUCCUUGACGAAACAGACCAGAGGGAAGCCUUGGGAUCUUGGGGCAGUGACGAGGAAAACCUCAGGGUUGGAGGAAGGAGGGGCCUAGAGGCUGCUAUUAAAAGAAUAAGGAAAAUGCUCUGUAGAGUUAGUAAAAGAUUAACACAGUUCCCCCCAAUGUCGUAAGAUCCCAGAGCAUUGCCAAAUACCCUUGGCAUCUCGUGGGAUGAAGUAUGAAGAGAGGUGGGAAGUUGGGGGACAGGGGUCAGGAAAAUGAAGAUCCCACAUCUGAAAGGGGCGAAAGGGUUACUGUUUUGUGAAGUUGAACCCAAGCAUUGCAGGCCUGAAGGAAUGGGAAGAGCUAAGGGCCGGGGAGCCAGCCUGCAGCGGAGGGAAGUGUGCACUUACACUGAUUUAUUGCAGGAGCAAGGAAGGCUUGAAAUGUGCUUCUGGCCACAAGACAAGACAGAUGCCCCUCUGCCAUGUGCCACUAUGCCUUGGAGCCAGCCAAGAUUGAAACUUCUAUGAAUCAGACUCCUGCAGUAAGGCUCUAGUCCCCACCUGCAUGACACAAGGUUGAAGAAAAACUUAAGACAGAGUUAAAGAGAACGUCUGAACUGGGAUGCCCAAUGCUCCUUUGCAAUGGGAAUGGAAUCCAAGGACACUUGACCACUGAGAUAUAUCCUCAUUCCUUUUUAAAAUUUUAAAAAUUUAAGAUACAGUCUCACUAAGCUGGCCGGGCUAGCCUCAAACUUGGAAUUCUCCUGCCUCAGUCUCCCAAGUAGCUAGGAUCACAAGUGCACACCAUAGUACCUAGCUAUAUAGUAUUAUGUCAUUUUAUAAAAGGGACUUGAACCCUGGCAGAUUUUGGUAUCCUCAGGGGUCCUGGAACCAGUUCACCUUGGAUAUUGAAAGAGAGAGUUAGUAUACAUUAACAUCCUGGACCUAACUACAGUGGUCAAGACAUCCUCUACAUGAGAUCAUAAGGGCAAUAGAGUACUAUGAUAAGCACCUAAAAUAUCAAAAAAGGGCCAAGUCAUGUUCCAAAUACCCUACUAAACAAAGCAAAGAAGAAUGUAUAUAGCUUUGAGAGCCCAUCAGAAUGAUUUCAAUUUAAACUUGGCACCCAAAGAUUAAACUUUUUAACACCUUAGAACAAUUCAUCCUUCUGGGGUGCUAAACAACUGAGAUUUUUAUCAUACAGCCUCAAAAUAGCUAAGGAAGAGAUUCUAAAUCAGGUUGAUGUCCUCCUUUUUUUUUUCUUAGUUAUUAUGUAAGGGAACAACUACACUUUAGAACCUUAUACAUAAAUCAGCCUCCAUUUAAUGGCCCCUGGGCCAGCGUUCUUCUGGUGUCAAAUAUGGGGCUCCAGUUCACUCCCAAAGGGAGAGGUGCCCAGCUCUGCUUUAACCUAGAAAUCUCCACUUGAAUCCUCCCCUCUGAGAAAAUCUGGCCUCUUGGAUGACCUGCAGUUAUCCUGGGAACUGGGUUGCCAAAACAAAAGUGCCAUGCCUGAUGUACUAAUGAAUUCAUGGAAAUGCCUAAUGAAAUAAGGUUAUAAGGAGGCAUUGGAAAAGUUUUUCUCUCUUUUCUUAAAAAAGCUGGCCUUUCUUUUUGUGAGUAUAUGUACAUACACACACACACACACACACACACACACAUUUUCCAAAUGCCCUAAAUUAGUUCAGGUUCUGGCCUGACUUUUGCUUUUCUCCUUCUGAGAUCCAAUUUCCUUUCUCAAAAUUCAGGGGGUUUUAUUGGCCUUACUUACAUGGCAUUCCAUAUGUUUGACAUAUUAUAGUAUCUUCUCUCUUCUUCUAGAAUGAAAGCAUCUUCAGGCAGGGUCCGUGUCUUCUUCCUUUUAAAUCUUUUAUCUCCCCAAACAUCUAGAAUCCACAAUGCCUUUCCCACUCUCAACAAAUGUUUAUUGUUUUCACUUACUCCUGUAAUAGUAAUAAUAAUAAUAGUAUAACACAUAUUUAGCACUUACUAUGUGCCAGGCAUCAUUCUAGGUACUUCAUAUGUAUUAAUUUAUUCAAUCCUCCCAACAACCCUAAUAUUAUACAGAUGGGGAAACUGUUGCACAAGUUGAUCGAGUAACUUUCCCCAGGUCAUGGAGCCAAUAAGUUAUCACUGAGCUGAGAUUUGAAGCCAAUCUGUAUAGGUGUAUCAGUCAGUAUUUACUAGAGAAAAAGAUAUAACACAAAAUAUACAAAAAUAGAUGAAUUUACAAGAUUGGCUUACAAUGGCCUCCUACAGAGUCACAUGAGGAAGAAUGCAGAGGAUCUGUCUGAACACUGGAGUCCAAAGGAUUUAGCUGAAGGUCUGCAGUGUCCUUCAACUCACUGCAGUGUCCUGUACAAGUCCAUAUCAGGAGGCCAAUGGGUCUGCAAUGGAAGGCUGAUGAAUCUAUGCUGGAAGGCUGAAGGAUCCUAGCCAGAAGCUGAAGAGACUGCCCAGGAAGCCAGGAGAUGACAUCCAAGGUGAAGGCAAAGACUGGAGCUCCUCUGAAGAAAUAGAAGCACAAGUCUCCUUCCUCCUUCCUCAUUUCCCCUUGAUACCAUCCAGGCAACAAGCUGCCCUAGGGUGCAGAAUUGCUGAGCUGAUUUAGUUAAACUUCUCUUAACUAAACUUCUCAAGCUGACACAAUCAGUCAUCACAGUUGGCUCUACUGACCAUCUUCCAAACCACUUGGCUAUACUGCCUGGCCCAGUGUACAGAGGACCCAGAUAUGACUUAUCAGUUUAGUCCUCCCACACCUGUCCUUUGCUGUCACAGCAACAGAACAACUGGCUGGGAUAUAAAACAGUUACCACUUUCUAACAGGACUUGUCUGUAGCUGUAAUUGCAUCACAAAUGAGCUCCAUGGUUAUUGUCCUCACCCAAGCAGUCCUCACACAUCUGCAAAGCCUCGGGUGAACAAGAUGUGGUUAAAAGGUAGGGUAAAAUUUAUUACAGCAAAAGACACAUUGCCGGGCUGGGGAUUUAUCUCAGUGGUUCUGCCGCCUGCCUCACAAAUGCAAGGUCCCGAGUUCGAUCCCUGGUACCAAAAAAAAAAAAUGCCAUUAAUCCCUCUUGAAAUACUUCCCCUCAUUUUGAACACACUUAUUCCAUUGUUCUUGCCACUUUCUAAGCAGUUCUGGAAGUCCUCUUUCAUAAGUGUCAUAACAAGAUGUCAUCGAAAAUACAGUGGGUGCUGCUGCUGAGUGACACCUGAUGAGAAGGCAGUCUCAUGAAAACAGUACGGUGUGUCCUUAUCCACUUUAUUCACCCGACCUGGCCCUAUGGGGCUUCUGAAUCUUCCUCAAAGUAAAAAUUACUGUGACAAGUAAAUGUUUUGAAUCGAGUGAAGACAUCAAGGCAGCCUUGAUAACACAACUAAAGACACAAAAGAGGACUUCCAGAACUGCUUCAGAAAGUGGAAAAAAUGAUGAGAUGAGUGUGUUCAAAGCAAGAGAGUAUUUUAAGGGAGAUUAAUGGCAGUGUGUUUUUUUACCGUCAAAGUCUUUUUUAAAGUUACAUAUCAUCCUAGUUUUCAAUCACACCUUAUAUGUUGAAGAUAUAACAAGGAGGAAGGAGCUCCAUUUUAGUCCUUUCCACAUUUGAGAUCCAGGGAGAAAAGGGCAAAACUUGUAACACUGAUAAAAAAGCAAGGACGUGUUCCCAACCUCUGCCCCAGAUCACUUCUUUCUCAUUUUUCAGCUGUCAAGACUUGGGCCACAGGGCAGUUUUCCUACUGUGGGCUUGUGAGUCUGGGUCUAUCCCAAAGGCCUUGCAAAUCUCUAUGUGGAGCACACCAGAAGCACAGUGCUUGAAAGUUACUCUUUGACUUGCACUAUGGAGCUGAGACAAGGGAUUAGUAGUCUGGCUCAACAAGUCAGUCUAGAGGAGCCUCUAGCUUAAAGCCAUCUCCUCUGAGGAUUCUGAAGGUUUCCUAGAGCACUGUUCCUCAUACCUUAAUAUGCAUAGAAAUACUUGGGAAUCUCAUUAAAAUGGAAAUCGUGGUUCAAUAAGUCAAGGUGAGUCUAAAUUCUGCCUUUCUAUCAAGCUCCUAGGGGAUGCUAAUGCUGUGGUCCAUGAACAACACUUUAGCAUCAAAGGACUGGACUAGCUGAAUUUGUUCCAUGCACUUAGCUGUUUUAGAGAUUGAGGCUCCAGGUGUAGAAACAGCCUUAGGGUUCAGAUUUGAAGGUGUUAGUAGCAGUGAUGGUGGCGCAGGCGAUGGCGCUGACAAUGGCAGCAGUGGCUCUAGUGUGGCAAGAACGGCAGUGCUAAUGCUGCUGAAGUUGGUGGUUAUAGUAUUGGUGGAGAUGCUGGUGGGAGGGGAUGUGGUGGAGGUAAAAGUGGUAAUGAUGGUAGUGGCUGGGUGUGUGGAUUGGGACGAUGCGGGAGCUGGGGGUGGUAAUCACAGCGGGAUUGAUGGAGGUGGUGGUCAUGGUGCUGGGUGAAGAUGAGGAUGGUGACUGAACUGUGCUGGUGGUGAUGACUGGGUUAGUAGUGAGGAGAUGGGUGGCGGCGCUGGUGGCAGUGGUGAUGGCAGUGAGAGUGACAGCGGAAGCAGGGGUUGUUAUGGUGAUCGUGAUGGUGUGAGGGCAGUGGUGGUGAUGGAGAGGGCCACAGGGGUGGUGCUCAUUAGCAUCACACCAUGUACAGCUCGUGUUAUUCAAAGCACUUUUUCACAUAUCUUCUAAGAGAACAGGAUUCUGAGUCAGAAGAAUGAGUUUGCGAUACAAUUCACCAUCUGCUAGUUGUAUGGUAUUUGGCAAUCAUAUCCUCCCUUGCACUCCAUUUGCUACCUCUAUUAUUAUCAGAAGGGAUAAUAAUAUCUCUCAGGGUUGCUCUUAGGCUCACAUGAGCUGCUACUUAGAAAAGUUAGGAUACUACAAAUACACAAGGUUUUCCGAUUCUCAUCUUCUUGAUCAGGUGCCUAGCUGAGGAGGCAGGAGCCUUCCAGGGACAAGACCACCUGAUGCGUAAGCAAAGCCUGUGGUGUGAUACGAGAGAACCAGGAUGGCUCCUAGCCUGCAGGCUGAUCACUUUGUUUUAGCUUCCAUCAUCAUUAGUUGGCUCUGUGGAGCUAACUGCCCUAUUCCUUUUGUGCCUUUGCUGAUGUGUACACAUUUCCAAAUAAAAGUCAUGUCUGGUGUAAGCAGAAGGACAUGUGGAUAUGGAAUGAGGGGGUCUGCAGCCACCCCCAGCCCAGUCACUAUCUCUGUAGAUAAGAGACCCCCAUUCCCCCUCCUCCUCCACAUCUUAGGAAAUAGAAAGGCUGGACUGGCCAUCUCCAAGGACACUUCCAGUUAUAAGAACCUGUGGACUUUGGUUUGGGUGGGCUCCCUGGACAGUCUUCCCUCUGGAAUAAGACAGUUAGCAUAAAAGCUCAUAUAAAAGGCUGGAGUCCCAAGAUCCCGUAGCUUGAGCUAGCUCUGGGCCAUGCCACGCCUCAGCCACCACUUCCAGCCCCUGGUUCCACAUUAGCCAAGCUUUGUUUUGAAAAGGUCCAGGGAGAAAUUUAUUGCUAUAAGCUGGAAGUUGAUUGGCCACAUUAAGAGCUCAACUUCCCCCUUCCUUUAGUCCCACUGACUACAAAAGGAGCUUUGUCUGCUGUAGGGUAGCCCUCCAGGAUGCGACCACAGACAGAAUUCAGCCUUUAAUAGGCUGCAGUGUCUGCUCAGAACACAUGAUUCCCUCUAGCACUGGGCACCCUGUACACUGAUACAGGCCAGGGAGCUAGAGCUGGGGCUGGCUACCUCUGAUGAGGCUAGAGUGAGCACUGGCUGAGGCCACCCUUCUCCCACCAUCCCAGAAUAAACAGAAGUUGCUAGACACAACCAAGUGAGCAAAGAGAUUGUCCUUUCUCUGGGGCUCCUUCUCGGAUUACAUUCUAAGGGGCCAUCCAGGGUCUCACCUGGUGAGGAGAAUCUGACAUGUGAAUAAGAUGGGUCAGAACCUUGUACUCAGAGCUUGCAACAUCUCCCUUUCUGCCUUCUCCCCACCUUCUUGCCUAGCCUACUGGCUGACAGCUCCACCCCACCCGAAGGCUAAACUGGGAGGCAGAGGAAAUUCUCAGGCACCUUGCAGUUCCUGGGAUCCUCUUCCAUCCUGGUUCCCAGGCCCUUCGGGGACUCCACCUGAACCAUCCUCAUCCACACACCCAGCCUUUCACUCUUCCUGCCCCCAGAUGCUCCUUCCUCUACUCUCAGAAGGUCCUCAUGAUCAAAAAGCAAUCUGUAAACCAAUCUAAGCUAGUUGUGAUUUCCCUGUGGCAAGGCUUCUGUCUUCUCCACAGCAGCUUCUCCCCCCAAGCUCUUCAGAGUGCCUGGUAUACCAGGCUCCUCUAAUACAUUUAUGCAAUCAUGAAAUGAAUGGGAAUAAACAUAAGUGAGUGGGUUAUAAUUAAGGUUACUCCUCUCAUGGGCAUGUGCAUUUUGUUCCUGUAACUAAAUCCUAGUGUGAGAGAGAUUUGAUGGCAAAACAUUUUCCACUGGCCAAAAGAUCUCAUCUAUUAGGUGUCUUCCCUACAUGUAAGAGGACCCUACCUGAGGUGGGCAUGGGGCUGCUUCCCGAGAGGGAAGUUGCCCUGGUGGGACAGAGGAAAGAAGCAAUGAUUUUCUGGCUUUCUGAAAAUGUGGCCUAGAGGCAGGCUCGAUUCUGCCCAGGCUACAAAAAAAGAAUUAUUCAACACUGCAGCUGCCCCAGCUGCAGGGAAGCAUUGAAAGGGUUUGGUCCAUCCACUGGCAGCCCGCCAAGCAUGAGGCCACAGCUGUAAUACUCAGACGAGAGGACAAAAGUCAGAGGGGAGAUGAGGACUGCUUGCAGUGGGAGAUGAGAGAGAGAUAAAGGUGCAGUGGACACUGGGGAAGGAAAUGGAAUCUGACACACAGAUGUUAUGGGAAAGGCUUUCCAUGGAGAGUGAACAGAGAAAGAGUCAAGGCCCAGUGACUAGAAGACAUAGCUAUGUUGGGCAAACAGUUUGGCAAGGUACCAGGUACAUGAAGAGAGUAGUUAAAAAUAAACCUGAAAGGUCAAUUAGGAUCCCAUCAUGGAGGCCCUUAGGCCAUGAUGAAGAAUUUGAAUUUUAUUCCAUAGGCAAUAGGAGCACUUGAGAAUCUUUUAGGGAAAAAUAAUGUGGAAUAAUGAUGGGAAUAAACCAAAAUUUUCUGAGCAUCAAAGGGCAGGAAUUUUUCCAGAUGUGGU